ensembl:ncRNA T24C2.9 ncRNA
UAGAGGUUAAUUUCAAUUUUUUUUUGAAGAAUGAAAAAGAGUGAAAGUCUGAGAAUGAUUUUUGUACCGUACUAUAUUUAGGGUGGGGCGGAAUAGCUCAGUCGGUAGUGAUGCCCGCUAGCAAUCUGGAGGUCAGGAGUUUAAGUCCGG